GGGGAUGUAGUUCUCUGGUAGAAUGCUUACCUAGUAUGCAUGAGGGCCUGGGUUCCAUUCCCAGUACUGCCA
rnacentral:tRNA from 1 species